GCGGUCGUGGCGGAACUGGCAGACGCGCUAGAUUCAGGUUCUAGUGCCCGCAAGGGUGUGGAGGUUCAAGUCCUCUCGACCGCACCA
rnacentral:tRNA from 1 species